rnacentral:rRNA from 1 species
GAUGAACGCUGACAGAAUGCUUAACACAUGCAAGUCUACUUGAACUUCGGUUUGGGUGGCGGCCGGGUGAGUAACGCGUAAAGAACUUGCCUCACAGAUAGGGACAACAUUUGGAAACGAAUGCUAAUACCUGAUAUUAUGAUUUUAGGGCAUCCUAGAAUUAUGAAAGCUAUAUGCACUGUGAGAGAGCUUUGCGUCCCAUUAGCUAGUUGGAGAGGUAACGGCUCACCAAGGCGAUGAUGGGUAGCCGGCCUGAGAGGGUGAUCGGCCACAAGGGGACUGAGACACGGCCCUUACUCCUACGGGAGGCAGCAGUGGGGAAUAUUGGACAAUGGACCAAGAGUCUGAUCCAGCAAUUCUGUGUGCACGAUGAAGUUUUUCGGAAUGUAAAGUGCUUUCAGUUGGGAAGAAAAAAAUGACGGUACCAACAGAAGAAGUGACGGCUAAAUACGUG